rnacentral:rRNA from 1 species
AGUGAACGCUGGCGGUAGGCCUAACACAUGCGAGUCGAACGGCAGCACAGUAAGAGCUUGCUCUUACGGGUGGCGAGUGGCGGACGGGUGAGGAAUACAUCGGAAUCUACUUUUUCGUGGGGGAUAACGUAGGGAAACUUACGCUAAUACCGCAUACGACCUACGGGUGAAAGCAGGGGAUCUUCGGACCUUGCGCGAUUGAAUGAGCCGAUGUCGGAUUAGCUAGUUGGCGGGGUAAAGGCCCACCAAGGCGACGAUCCGUAGCUGGUCUGAGAGGAUGAUUAGCCACACUGGGAAUGAGACACGGUCCAGAAUCCUACGGGAGGCAGCAGUGGGGAAUAUUGGAAAAUGGGCGCAAGCCUGAUCCAGCCAUAACGCGUGGGUGAAGAAGGCCUUCGGGUUGUAAAGCCCUUUUGUUGGGAAAGAAAAGCAGCAGGUUAAUACCCCGCUGUUCUGACGGUACUCAAAGAAUAAGCACCGGCUAACUUCGUG